UAUUUUUACCCACGUUGUAGCCUUCCAAGCCUUCUGAGGUCGUUUUACUCAUGGUUCAGGCAUAAGAAGUGCAGAGAAAGCCUGCUCUACCCUGUCUGUGCUGCCGCUGGCCUCGCCUGUGGAGACUCUGGCAUGCCGGAGUCACACACACCGACAUCUGUGCUUGAAUGUAGAACCAAUUCAGCUAUUCAAAGGAACUGUUGCACUGCUUUUGUCUGCGGUCGCAGAGUCUCGCCCUGACCCUGGAGUUGAUAGACCGGGCUAGGCUAGCUGGCUGGUGAGCGUUGAGAAUCCUGUGUUUCCGCCCGAGGUCCCCAGCUCAAGGAUUACAGUCCUGCUUUUCUUCCCAUGGAGCACCUCUGCAGUGAUGCCUGUGUCUUUCUGUGGGCUGCCUCGGCCUUCGUUAGCAGCCACGCCAGCCCAGCAGUCAUCUGAUGAGUGGAUAGAGGCUGCCCAGGAGGCUUGCCUGUUCUCAGGGCGCAGUAAUUGGUGCAGAGUGAAUCCUGAGCAUAUGAAGGUUCAUCCGUAAGACUGUCAAACCUGAGGCAGCCCUGGCUCUUGAUGGUCACUGCUAACCAGUUCUCUAGAAGCUGAGCUGCGCUGCCUGAGGCCUCUACCCCUGAGAUCUGGCUUGCUUCUCUUCAUGCAGAACCCCCUCAACCACUACCUCUGCUUCCUCUGACCGAAUGGGAUUUUGCCUUCUAACUCUUCAGGGGAACCGAAGUGUCCAGAAAGCAGCGCUGGUGUCUCCAUUCUGCACCGGCCAGCUGCAGAACCCUUUUCUUCUUUCACUAGAAUUGUGGCUGUGGAUGGAAGAAUAAAAUCUCUCACUUGAAGGAGAAGCAUUUUAUUUUAUUUUUUUUUCACCCCAGCCU